GGUCAGACGUUGAUUGAUAUCAAGGCAGUGUCGUAUGCCUUCAGUGCAUCAAGAAUAUCUGAAUAUGUAACUAUUGGAAUGUCACCAAGCCAAUUGAAUUAGAAAUCUGGUUGUCUCCUAAUGUUGUGUAAAGUUUGGGGAUAAUUAGACGGUGAGAAGAUCUUCAUUCGUUGUCAAAGUUCUGACCGUAUGAAUGUAUCCAGAAGUAUUAUUUUGCUCCAAAAUGCACUUCUUUAGUCCAAGUAAUCUGAAAAGUCUUUUGAAACCUUAAAACAUAGAAAUCACUUAAAAUCAUUGAAAACUAAGUUAAAACUAAUAUAAAAUAUUAAGAUUAUCCAUAAAAAUGGUCAAAAUACAGUGUUUUUAACUCUCUGAUAUUUAAAUCUUUGUUUGUUCUCAAACAAAACAGAGAUUAAAGUUGGAAAAGAAAUCAUAACAACGCAGAAAUUAUCAGGACUUAGUCUAGAAAAUUCUCACCAAAGUGCUGCAACACUAGGCUACGAUCUCGAUCAAUCUAAACCUUAGUGCUAGUCAGUUAACUCUCUACAUUCAUUAAAUGGUAGACGACAUUCAGUACAAAAGGCUAUUUGAAUAGUGGAGUUAAAGUGUUUCAGAUUACUUUAAGCUUUGAAGGAUACAAAAUAUUAUACAUAACCGAAAGAGAGUAUGAACCUGUUGAUAUUCAUAGCUUUCUGUCAUUUCUUCUUGCGAGAUGGUUGUCCCUUUUUAAUCUAGGAUUUUGCCAAAAUGUUUUAUAAAAAAAUGUAAUAGUUAAAAUAUAAACAAAUAUAGUUCUCUAAUCUAAUUUUGAAAAAUAAGUGGUACAAAACAUCGGUAUAACGUAAGUUUUCGUUUUUUUUUUCUCCGUACUUUUAAAUUGUAGACAGAACAUAUCAAAAGAAAGAGAAUAAAGUUUCCAUGGGAAUACAAAAUAUUUAACAACUACUCCAACAAAUUUCAGUACACAAGAACACUAUGAAACUUUCGUUAAACGCCUUUAGGAUUUGGAACCUUGAUGCCAUCGAUAGAAUCAUACCACACUAUAAAGAUGCUAUCCUGCUUCUAAAACCAAGUAUGAGAGGAGUACCUGAUAAGAAAGUGUGGCUAAAGCACCCCUCUGGGGAGUACACGGUCAAAUCAGGAUGUAAAGCGGAAGCAGAGGAGUAUGGGAGUACUCCUGUUCUGAAUUGGAUCGCACCGGUGGAUUGGUAUAAACAGGUCUGGGAUCUUAGCAUCUCUCCCAAAAUAAAGCUUUUCAUCUGGAAAGCCAUCUGAGGUGCGUUACCUGUUGGGGAACAAAUGUUAGCAAGACAAAUCCC
rnacentral:lncRNA from 1 species